rnacentral:rRNA from 1 species
GCCGGCGGACCGGCGGACGGGUGGCGUAACGACGUAUGUAACCUAACCUUUCGUACAGGGGAGGUAACAUCCGAGAAAUUGGUACUAAUACCCCAUAACAUCACCGGAGGCAUCUUCGGUGGUUGAAAACUCAGGUGGUCAGAGAUGGACAUGCGUUGUAUUAGCUAGUUGGUGAGGUAACGGCUCACCAAGGCGACGAUACAUAGGGGGACUGAGAGGUCAACCCCCCACAUUGGUACUGAGACACGGACCAAACUCCUACGGAAGGCAGCAG